AAAAGGCAACUCACCCUUGUUCUUCGGUCUUGCUCUUAGCAGGUUAUGCAAUGCCCAUUCGCAGUGGUGCAGGCAAACACUCAGCCUACAGCCCCAGUCCUAAUUCCUUUGGGAAAUACCCUCCCAGACACUUUACCUGCUCUCUAAGUCCCCUUUAGACCAACAGUUCUCAACCUGUGGGCCAUGACCACUUUGGGGGUUGCAUAUCAGAUAGCCUACAUAUCAGACAUCUACAUUUCGAUUCAUAACAGUAGCUACAUUAAUUGUGAAGUUGCAAUGAAAUAAUUUUAUGGUUGGGGGCCACCACAGCAUGAGGAACUAUUGUGAAGGGGUGCAGUGUUCAGAAGGUUGAGAACCACUGCUUUUGUCCACUAGAGCUGAUGCCUAAAAUUAACCAUCACAAAGGAGUUUGGCAUACAAUAUCUGGGUCUAAGAAUGUUCUCAUUUUAAUUCAAACUGCUACAAUGUUUCUUAGUCCCAGGGACUUACCCUUGACACUUGCAAAAUCCUAGCCAGUUUGAGAAGACAAUGGUGCUUCCUUGUUUUUUCGAAAUACAACAGAGAGAAUGUUUUAGAAGACUUGGUACCAAAGCCUGGUGGAGCAUGCCUGUAAUUCUAGCAUUUGGGAGGCAAAGACAGGUAGAUUUCUGUCGGUAGGAAGCCGACCAGGGCUAUAUAGUGACACCUUGUCUGUCUCGGGAAGAAAAGAAAAGGGGUGGGGGGAGUCAAGGAGUGGGAGGGAAGAAGAAGAGAGGAGGGAAAGGAAGUGAGAGAAGAGAAGGGAGAGGGAGAGGAGGGGAGGGAGGGAGGAGGAGGAACUCAACAUAAAAUAAAUUGGUCUUCUAAUAUCUAAUCUUAAGGUAUUUGGUGCAGGUGGUUGAAGAAAAGUUCUGCAAGCUUCUCAAACCCUCAGCUUAUAAGGCAUGCCCAUUUCACUAAAAUGCAAACAGAACAACACUACAUGUGCCUUUUUUGGCUUCCUUCUCUUCCACUAUCCACUUGUCUCUUGCACUGUAGCUUCUGGUCAGUUCCUUCUACGGACCAGAGUUGUCAUUCUACCGGUCCAUCUUUGCCUCUUCAAAUACAAGGUUUUGUCUUCUUGACAACUUUUCUCUAUAUUUCUCUAUAUUCUCAAGCUUGAUUAUGACUCAAGUCUCCCUGGAUACCCAGAGUUGUGCUCCUCAACUGCACUCAGCCCUCAAGGUCACAGAGUAGUUAGGUGGUCUACGUAAAACUUGCCUGUCCUGACCAUCAAGCGACUACUCUGAGUUGUGCCAAGCAGAUGAGCCCAAAGCCCAAGAGGAGGGUCUGCCAGAAGCCCAUCCAUUUCAUUGCUGCUUCACUGUUCUACCUUGGACAGAGUUGGUGAGUGUUGCACACAUCACAGUUGCAUAGAACACUGUCACACACCUCACAUGUGCACAACAGGUAUAACCAGGUGUACAAAUAGUUCUUGUAUGGUGAACCUAAAGUCACAGUUCUUAAACAUGUGUUUGUAGCAGUGUAGUAAAAAGCAAUUCCUGGAACUUUAGAUUAGCCAGGUCCAUUUCUUGCCUGUCCAAAAGAGAAAAGGGAGAGAGAGAGAGAGAGAGAGAGAGAGAGAGAGAGAGAGAGAGAGAGAGAGAGAAAGAAGAAGAAGAAGAAGGAGGAGGAGGAAGAGGAGGAGGAGGAGGAGGAGGAGGAGAAGGAGGAGGAGGAGGUGAAGGAGGAGGAGGAGGUGAAGGAGGAGGAGGAGGAGGAGGAGGAGGAGGGGAGGAGAGGGGAGGGAAGGGAAGGGGAGGAAGAAAUCAGAAAUCAGGCAUCUAUAACUUGGGUUUCUAGCAUCCUCAACCAUUAUAAUGCUUCUCUUCUUCUUUCUCAGUGUUACAAGCCAGCUUCAAACACCCUCAAGGAAGACACAUGCCAUAUUUUUCUGGCUUCAUUCAGGAACACAAAAAGGAGGCUUGCUGCUCUGCAUGAUGUUUGUUCCACAGAACUCAGGAUCUGGGUGAUAGCCUUCUCUGUGAACUGUCCCCCGAAAUAUGUCACCAUCACACCUCAAUAAUUUCUUAUUUUGCCAAAGGCUACAGUAUGGGAAGUAUGUUCAAGAAUUCUUGGCCCCCAGGGAUGAGUCUGUACACCUAGGUGUUCUGUGCCUGCUCAAGGCUAAAGGAUUCUGUGGUAAGUUGCUGGCACAGGUGGGCUAUUUCUACACCAUAAUAUGUAGAAGUCUAAAAGACAGCUAAAAAUAUGGCGUCUACUGGAAUGCUCACGCUGUGGCUAUAACAUGUUGUGGGUUUGGAUUACCCCCUUUCAUUUAAGUCAUCAUUCUUCCAACCAUAGGAGGGACAGUAGAAGGAGAGGACAUGAGCAUCGUUACAGGCAGUUCCUCCUCCAUAGCAUCCCCAGUAACCCAAUCCCAUUCUCCUGUGAUACUAUACAGGAAGCAAACAGGAUCUGGAGUUUUCCCCCU
rnacentral:lncRNA from 1 species